AGGCCGGUGGGGCAUGACCUGCUUGGUACCUGCUUUGGAAAGCACGUGUAGAGCUGCUGCUUUGGCUCCAAGGCUCUGGUGUGAGGCCCGUGCGUGGGGUUCAUCUUGGUGGGGAAGUGCCCGCGCCAGAGACAGGGACCCAAAACGAGACAGACAGACGCGCUCAGACACACGCCCCCGCAGGGAAAUUAAUACUGGAGGAAAGGUCAUCACAAGUAAAUUCUCCACGAUGUCAGAUCACAUGAUGGCGAAACAGGUUUGAAGCCCCAGCUCUCAAAGCAACUUCCAGCGGACCAUGACGGGAAUCAAGGCUCCUUUAAAACAAACCUGGCGCGGCGCGCAGCGAUGGAUCCUAUCCAGCAACGGGUUUAUUGCGCGGGGAUGUUCUACAGGCUUAAUUACAUCUUAACUUCAAUAUUUGUUGAGUGCAUUAGCCGCAUAUAUAUUUAAUCAGGCGGAGGCGCUCUUUCCU